UACGUAGGGGGCUAGCGUUGUCCGGAGUUAUUGGGCGUAAAGAGCGUGUAGGCGGCCAGGUAGGUCUGCUGUGAAAACUCGAGGCUCAACCUCGAGACGUCGGCGGAAACCAACUGGCUAGAGUCCGGAAGAGGAGAGUGGAAUUCCUGGUGUAGCGGUGAAAUGCGCAGAUAUCAGGAAGAACACCCGUGGUGAAGGCGGCUCUCUGGGACGGUACUGACGCUGAGACGCGAAAGCGUGGGGAGCGAACAGG
rnacentral:rRNA from 1 species